rnacentral:rRNA from 1 species
GGGAUUGCCUUAGUAACUGCGAGUGAAGCGGCAAGAGCUCAAAUUUGAAAUCUGACGUUUUUGACGUUCGAAUUGUAAUUUGGAGGGAUAUCUUCGGAGCUGGCGCUGUCCUAAGUUCUUUGGAACCAGACAUCAUAGAGGGUGAGAAUCCCGUGCCUGAAUGGCUGUCCUGCUCCAUGUGAAGUGUCUCCGACGAGUCGAGUUGUUUGGGAAUGCAGCUCAAAAUGGGUGGUAAAUUUCAUCUAAAGCUAAAUAUUGGCGAGAGACCGAUAGCGCACAAGUAGAGUGAUCGAAAGAUGAAAAGCACUUUGAAAAGAGAGUUAAACAGUACGUGAAAUUGUUGAAAGGGAAGCGCUUGAGACUAGAUUCGGCCGGCGGUCAUCAGCUACGUUUUUGCGUGGUGCACUUGCCGUCGGUUGAGCCAGCAUCGGUUUCGAUGGUGGGAUAAAGGUUUCAGGAAUGUGGCUCCUCAAUUUUGAGGAGUGUUAUAGCCUGGAGCGCAAUGCCGCCUGUCGGGACCGAGGACCGCGCUUUUGCUAGGAUGCUGGCUAAAAGGUCUUAAGCGGCCCGUCUUGAAACACGGACCAAGGAGUCUAACAUCUAUGCGAGUGUUCGGGUCGGAAAACCCUUGCGCGUAAUGAAAGUGAACGGAGGUGGGAACCCCUUUGGGGUGCACCAUCGACCGAUCCCGAUGUUUACGGAAGGAUUUGAGUACGAGCAUA